GACCCCAAUAAAAAGGAGGAGGGUCGCUGAGCAGGCUGGUCCUUCCACCAGCUCAGAUGUGGUCAAAGGAGUGAAGCGCAAGGUUGUGCAAGAUGAAGAGGGCACAACAAAGAAAGCAAAGAAGGCUAAACUUCUCGACCAUAUGAGCGGUGACAAGGAGCAAGCAUCCUCCUUGUUGGACUCUGGUAAAGACUUGAAUAACAAACAGGUGUGCGCAAAAAAUGGCAAAAGAAAGGCCGCGGGAGACAACAGAGAGUCACCCAAGAAAAAAAAAGGAAUGUGGACCAGGACAAAAAAUCAGUGGCAGACCAAAAACGUGAAUUCCAAGCCAGAUAUGUGGAGGAGCACCAGCUCGGAGAAGGAGGCUGCGGAGCAGUGUUUGCUGGCUACCGGAUAGAAGAUCGUUUUCCAGUUGCCAUCAAACACAUUCCCAAAAAUAAAGUCUACUGCAAAGUGGCGGAUGAAAGCGGGAAGAAGCUCUCAGUGGAAGUGGCCAUUAUGGUUAAACUUGCAGGUGAAGCAGAAGGGUCAGUGGGAAUAUCUGCACCUGUGUCCUUGCUGGAGUGGUUCGACCUUGGCAAAGAGCUGAUCCUGGUGCUGGAGAGACCUGUCCCCGCUGUGGACCUGCAAAAAUACAAAGCAGAAAAUGGAAGAACUUUAACAGAGGACAAGGCCAAGGUCAUUCUGAAGCAACUAGUUGAUGCUGUAAAGGAACUUGAGGAUAAA